rnacentral:rRNA from 1 species
UACAGAGGUCCCGAGCGUUGUUCGGAUUUACUGGGCGUAAAGGGUGCGUAGGUGGCCGGGAAAGUCUGAUGUGAAAUCUCCGAGCUUAACUUGGAAAUGGCAUUGGAAACUAUCUGGCUUGAGGGCCGGAGGGGAGACUGGAAUUCUCGGUGUAGCAGUGAAAUGCGUAGAUAUCGGGAGGAACACCAGUGGCGAAGGCGACUACCUGGCCUGUUCUUGACGCUGAGGCGCGAAAGCUAGGGGAGCAAACGGGG